UGGGGAAUUUUGGACAAUGGGCGAAAGCCUGAUCCAGCAAUGCCGCGUGUGUGAAGAAGGCCUUCGGGUUGUAAAGCACUUUUGUCCGGAAAGAAAUCCUUGGCUCUAAUACAGUCGGGGGAUGACGGCNCCGGAAGAAUAAGCACCGGCUAACUACGUGCCAGCAGCCGCGGUAAUACGUAGGGUGCAAGCGUUAAUCGGAAUUACUGGGCGUAAAGCGUGCGCAGGCGGUUUGCUAAGACCGAUGUGAAAUCCCCGGGCUCAACCUGGGAACUGCAUUGGUGACUGGCAGGCUAGAGUAUGGCAGAGGGGGGUAGAAUUCCACGUGUAGCAGUGAAAUGCGUAGAGAUGUGGAGGAAUACCGAUGGCGAAGGCAGCCCCCCUGGGCCAAUACUGACGCUCAUGCACGAAAGCGUGGGGAGCAAACAGGAUUAGAUACCCUGGUAGUCCACGCCCUAAACGAUGUCAACUAGUUGUUGGGGAUUCAUUUCCUUAGUAACGUAGCUAACGCGUGAAGUUGACCGCCUGGGGGGUACGGUCGCAAGAUUAAAACUCAAAUGAAUUGAC
rnacentral:rRNA from 1 species